UGCAGUCGACGAUGAACCUCACUUGUGGGGGGAUUAGUGGCGAACGGGUGAGUAACACGUGAGUAACCUGCCCUUAACUCUGGGAUAAGCCUGGGAAACUGGGUCUAAUACCGGAUAUGACUCCUCAUCGCAUGGUGGGGGGUGGAAAGCUUUUUGUGGUUUUGGAUGGACUCGCGGCCUAUCAGCUUGUUGGUGAGGUAAUGGCUCACCAAGGCGACGACGGGUAGCCGGCCUGAGAGGGUGACCGGCCACACUGGGACUGAGACACGGCCCAGACUCCUACGGGAGGCAGCAGUGGGGAAUAUUGCACAAUGGGCGAAAGCCUGAUGCAGCGACGCCGCGUGAGGGAUGACGGCCUUCGGGUUGUAAACCUCUUUCAGUAGGGAAGAAGCGAAAGUGACGGUACCUGCAGAAGAAGCGCCGGCUAACUACGUGCCAGCAGCCGCGGUAAUACGUAGGGCGCAAGCGUUAUCCGGAAUUAUUGGGCGUAAAGAGCUCGUAGGCGGUUUGUCGCGUCUGCCGUGAAAGUCCGGGGCUCAACUCCGGAUCUGCGGUGGGUACGGGCAGACUAGAGUGAUGUAGGGGAGACUGGAAUUCCUGGUGUAGCGGUGAAAUGCGCAGAUAUCAGGAGGAACACCGAUGGCGAAGGCAGGUCUCUGGGCAUUAACUGACGCUGAGGAGCGAAAGCAUGGGGAGCGAACAGGAUUAGAUACCCUGGUAGUCCAUGCCGUAAACGUUGGGCACUAGGUGU
rnacentral:rRNA from 1 species